rnacentral:lncRNA from 1 species
CGAAACCCUGGCUCCUCUCUCUGCUGUGCGCCCCCCCACACCAGCGGCUACCACACCGAAUCCUCAGCGCCUGUGGUAACAAAGGUGAAUCAACACCUAGACUCCUCUAUCCUUUGUUCUGCGAAUUGUUCUGUGCUUUCUCCUCGCCCUAACCUCACUCCUCUGGCUCGAAUCUGACACACAGCGCAUGAACUACAUGUACAUUGGAGCUGUUUGUGAUGAGGGAUCUCCAGGCUCGGCAUCAUCAAGAACAAGAACCACUGAGCCAAAGGUAAAAACCUGAGUCUCUGCUGUAACUGAUUUGUCACAAUAAAAUAUUUCUAUCGAUUGCAUAACCAAGGCAGAUGCUAACAUACAAAACGGAGAACUUAAGAUGCUUUCCACACGUUAUGAUUUUUUUAUAGAUAAUCCCCUCAAUGUUGCCAUGCGCUGUCAUGCUCAAUGUCUUAUUAAUUCACUGGUCCACCUAAGUAUGCCUCGGAACGCCUGCUUAAUACCUGUUUCUCGGUCAAUAUCAGCGACACAAUCUUUAGUUAAUUAUAACUGCAGUACCUACCCUGCUCUCAUAAUAAUACAGUCCCUCGUUGCUAGCUUCGAAACAUGAUAGGGCCCUAUUCUUCCCUACUAUGAAAGCCGUAGACGCAGACAAGUAGGAAAAACCAGAUUGCUUGCUAUCCUGUCGGCUGUACUUGCUAUUUACCUCGUAUAUUUUCCUGACUCUGAUGAAACGCUACUUUAUGAUCUUCCAACUGCUGAACUAAGAUCCCGUAAAAAAAAUUCAGGACAACAUGGGCACUCAAAAGUGUCAGUACGUUGUUGAUGCUACUGGAUUUGAUAAAGUUGCGGGUCUGAGGUCAACAAGAAAAAUAUAAUGCCAUCAUCUUAUGCGGGCAAACUUCGCUCGAUGACUGAAAACUUCCACGAUUCUAUAGCUGUUUCACGUGUCCAUGGCUCACCUGAUAUAUUCACAACCUUCACUUACGAUCCAAACUGGCCUGAGAUAGUUGAGGGUCUUGAGCAUGGACAACAGGCAAUCAAUGAAGCUAAUUUUGCUGCUCAAGUGUAUCAGAUGAAGUUACUUGGGUACCUGCAAGAAAUAAAGACCGGGAAAGUGUUUGGGCCUGUAGUUGUAGGUAAUGUAGCCAGUGUCUUCCCUUCCUUUUCUUUCCUUUUUCUUGUCCGUGCAUCGUACUUUUCCUAUUUUUCACUUGCCCUCUUGUUUUUCAGUCCUCCACUCCGUGGAGUUCCAGAAGAGGAGUCUGCCCCAUGCACAUAUCCUUGUUUGGCAGAAAAAAGAUAAUGGCCAAGUCAUAACACUGACCUUGCUAAAUCCUUUGUUUCAUCUGCUAUUAGUGUUUCUAUCAAAUCUAGAUUCGUCUUUGUUUUCCAGAGUUCCUUUUUCCAGAAUUCCUAAUAAUUAGCUUGACCAUGUCAUAGGGAUCUGCGUCCACUGAUGUUGAUGCCGAUGCUCCUGCGAUUGCAGCUGUUAACACCAUGGAGACUGCACUUCUGCAGACAUAAAAGCUUAUGAGGUGCCCCCUCUAUAUACAACAAAACAUACAACAUUAUUGAUUACUUAUACAAGCUAGAGUUGGCUGCAUGAAUCAUAACAAGCUUCCCACUAUGAAACCCCUUGCAAUUAAGCUUUUGGCUUUUGCUGCUUCAGUUUCUUUGUUUUCUCUUGUUGGAUUCCUAUUUUUAUACAGUACGCAUAUGCGGAACUCAUACAAUCCCUUUCCUCGGAAUUUGCUAAUUUCAGAGAUGUUGCUGCUGCUGCACAGAACAUUUCGUCAAAAAUGUUUCGUUGCUAAGUGAUCUACACUUUCGGAUGAACAUGCAUGAAAGGUAUUCCUGUUUCCACAUCCAUAGCGCCAUCACUAAUUUAUCUUUGCCUCCUGUUUCCCAAAUUGACUGAUACAUUCAUUCAUGCCUAUGCCUUGUAUCAGUAACUAAUAGACUAACUGCAUCAUAAGCUUUGCUACAAUAAUAAUUUCACUAAUGAUGUCACGUCGGUCUCUCGCCUUAUGAAAUUGCUUCUAUUUUUCAUCAGGUUCUUUUGGUCCUUGGUUCUUUCUCUCUGGUUACUUUGGAUCUAGCAACUAAAGCGUUGCCCACAAGGACAAGUGAAGCCUGCUUUGCAGUUACUGUUUUCGCACAAUUGUCCAAGUAUCCAGAAUGGCCUAUUACUAUGUUCGUCGCAUAUUUGUAAACCGCAUGUUUGGCAACCCCUGUUCAUGCGUUUCCUUGUUUAAGAUCUCAACCAGCCUAUUUCCAUGUUCUAUGGAUAUCGUUCUUAGCCCUUUGUUAAUGUACCCUAUGUCCCUCAUGACUAUUUGAACCUACUACAAAUAUUUAUUAAGCCAACCUAUCUAACGUAUGUUUGAUCACCAGUGUAAUGACUUGUAUAGUAAGCCUUGUGAACUUACGAUUUAAGCACUCAUAGACCUAAUACUACUGAUAGUCUACAAGCAAAGCAUGGCAAGCACACACACUUUUAUCAUUAAAUUUAGUUACCUAUGCCCCUCCUUACAGACAUCAAAUCGAUAACGAAACUGUGUAUAGAAAGC